GGCCAGUUUGAGGUCGAUAGAGCGAUUGAAAUCAGCUGGCUGAACGCGGGACGCAUCCCGGAACAGCGAGCAAGUGCAGUUCUUCCCAGAAGCAGCUCCUGUGAGGCUCAGGGUGCAGAGCUGGGUCUUCAGCAUCCGACUUUUGUGAUAGGUUUAGGAUUUGAGGACCCCUCCAUCUCUCGGAAGAAAUGUCCACCCCAGAUGAAGGAGAUGUGAAUGGUCCCACCCAGAACCCAACUUCAUCUUGACCCCUAUUCUGGGAGGUCUCCUGCUCCCUAUCUCUUCAUUUCUUCUCAUUGGACCCGGAAUCGAUUGCCUCCAUACACAGUUGCUUAUACCCAGCAUGCAGCACUGGAGCUGGCACAUAACAGGAGCCUGAUAAAUAUUUGCAGAGAAGUGAAUGAAAUGAAAAGCUACACUUACACAACAAGUACCUCCUGAUGUUGUUUCCUGGUGACAGGCAGCUUCUGUUCUGAGAAUACAAUGGACUUUGUCUCUUAUGGAUGAUUUAUUCUGUCAAUAAUUUGCCAGGGGAGGGCAGUAGCUCCUUGCUUCCAACUCUUGUCUCCACAUUCCUCUUCUGUAAAUCAAUCCUUCCCCGAACUGUAGCGGAACCAAAUCCCAUGGAUUCUACCUGAGCUCUGCCUCUGGACCCCCACCCUUCCUUCUGCCGCUGCCUUUCGGGGUCUUUGUCACUUCUUGCCCGGAUUCCCACCCUAGAUUCCUAAUUGGGUUCCUUGGCAACAGUCUUGCCCAAUCCUGCCUCACCUCCCCCUCAGCUGCCAGACAUGUCAUCAUCAAAAUAUUUGAAAAACGAAUUCUAGGGUUAAAGACCUCCCCUGCUCUCUGGAACCUAGAGAUAAGAUCAAGUGCAAACAUUUCGGCAUGAGGUUCAAUAAGCCUUCCAAUCUGCCCUGGGGUCCUUCUCCUAGCUCCUCUCCCAUAGGCCCCCCUUUCCCACCAUGCAGCCUCUGCCCAGCCACACUAUUGAAUGAAUGUGACUCCCCAGCUGCAAAGCCGUGACGUGAUGCGGGCCAUCUUCUUUCCUGGCCUGCCUUGUCUCCCCUGCGGCAGCCCACAGUCUCCCUCCUGACUCGUUCUCGGGAAGCCUG